rnacentral:rRNA from 1 species
CCUACGGGAGGCAGCAGUGGGGAAUAUUGGACAAUGGGCGAAAGCCUGAUCCAGCAAUGCCGCGUGAGUGAUGAAGGCCUUAGGGUUGUAAAGCUCUUUUACCAGGGAUGAUAAUGACAGUACCUGGAGAAUAAGCUCCGGCUAACUCCGUGCCAGCAGCCGCGGUAAUACGGAGGGAGCUAGCGUUGUUCGGAAUUACUGGGCGUAAAGCGUACGUAGGCGGUUAUUCAAGUCAGAGGUGAAAGCCUGGAGCUCAACUCCAGAACUGCCUUUGAAACUAGAUAGCUAGAAUCUUGGAGAGGUGAGUGGAAUUCCGAGUGUAGAGGUGAAAUUCGUAGAUAUUCGGAAGAACACCAGUGGCGAAGGCGACUCACUGGACAAGUAUUGACGCUGAGGUACGAAAGCGUGGGGAGCAAACAGGAUUAGAUACCCUGGUAGUCCACGCCGUAAACGAUGAUAACUAGCUGUUCGGGCUCUACGAGCUUGAGUGGCGCAGCUACGACAUUAAGUUAUCCGUCCGUCGGGAGGUACGGUCGGCGAAGAAUUAAAACGUUAAAAGGUAAAGUUAGUACGGACGUGAGACGUCGCCGACGGACGACGACGAGGGAGGUUAGG